AUAUUUUGCUACAGUUUCCAAAAAACAUUAACCUCAAGAAAAUAAUGUCUUAGGAUUAUUGUACUUUCAAGAAGUUUUAUUGGUUACUCCAACAUCUGUCUUAAAGUUUCAAACUAGGUCGGUUCCAUAGGUAACGAGUGACUUUAUAAAGCGAACUAAUAUCGUUUCAAUCCUUUGAAACGAAACAAAAGUCGACAUAAUAAACAUUUACGAAUACGUUUAUAAAGUGCUUGAUUAGUGAAAGUCAACUUAAAAUUAUCUUUACCUGAUUAAUUCUCUAACGACAAAAAAUUUUAUCUGUGAAUGUAUCAUUGAUAAAAAAUUUAAUCAAUAAAUAAAACAGUAAAAAAGUUUUCAGAAAAGUUUUAUUAUAAUCUUUAAAUAGAUGUAGAAAUUAUUUUAAAAAAAUAAUCAUUCUUUUCGACUUUAAAAAUUUAUAAAAUUGUGAGAAAGGUUUAUAACCUAUAAUUUACUCAACUCAUCAAUUCUUUAAUAUUAUUAGUUAGUAAAUUAUCACGCAAGAUGGCACCAGUAACCUAAUAUUCAUGAUAUAUAUUGCAUUACCCCAUGAGAUUAAAUAAUUUUCUAAAAUCGAUUAUCUAAACGAUUUUCAUGAAACAAGAUAACUGUGAAACAUAAUCGAUCUAUUAUUGUUGAAACAAUUUUGAAAUGAGAUAAAUACGUUUCGUCUAAGUCUUACAUUUGCACAAUUGAUUUCGAUAUUUUUUGAGACCAAGAAUGAUGACUACACAGAUGAUCCACAGUCAUGAUAAUGAUAACAUUGAAAUAUGGAGACGAAACAAAGCGAUGUGAAAUCGAAUGUGAUAUAUGGACGACCGAGGUCACGAGAAGAGAAUUAUACACGAUUAAAAGAUUAAAUCGAUGAAGGAUUAAGUCCCAACACAACUUGUCCCAUACUAAUGAGUGUCUUAAAGAUACCGGAAGUCAAGAACUAGAAAAGGAACCUGCGAGAAGUUUUAACGAGGUAAACAUGCAAACAUCCCAGGUGACGAAUUCAUUUCUACACCUACAUGAACAAGGGAUAUUGAAAAAAGAUGGAUUAUACUAAAGAUCUACACUUGAAGAAUAAUAAUUUCAAAGAAUAAAUCGUGACCAUGAUAGACUUCCUGCUUCCUGUUUCGAUUCAUUCUUUAUGAAUAUAUCACGUCGUUCGAUUCAUUAAAACCCUGAGUGUGAAUCGAAGGAUAUUUUGAAAGUAAGCGUGAAAUAUUUGUAACAAAUAAUUCGUUUAUUGAAUAUUAAUAUAAUAUUUAAUAACCAUAACCAUUUAUAUGGUUUCAAAUAUUUUAUUUAAUUUAAUUCUUAAUUUUAUCGAAUUUCUCCAAGAUAAUCUUCAAUAUUCAAAUUAAUUGUUAUUUUAUUUUGAAAGUUUUAACAAAAAGAAAAAAAUUACUUAAAGAGUAAGUAAUAUUAAAAAUUAAUAUUUCUUUCUUAUAAUAUGAUAAUAACAAUUUUUAUUUUUAAAAUUAAAAUAAUAAAUUGUAUCUCAAGUUUUUAUUUUUAUUACAAAUAAAAUAUUUAAUCAUAAAGCAUCUAAAAUAAAAUGAUAAAGUAAAAUAAUAUAUAAAAUUAGAAUAAAGCAGCAUCUAUUAAAACACAUUUCUCGGCUAUGAUUAUGCAUGAUGCUUUGUAAUGUCGUCGACAUUGGAAAAAGAGAAUUAUUGACGUCGUGAAAAACAUACGACUUUAUCCGUAAAAGUGCGUUGAAAUUGAUACUGGAAACGCAUUUAUGUGAACGAUCCCGUCCUGAAAACGGAUGCGCAUUGUCAUCAAUGACAUUCGACGAAUAACAAUAAUGACUUCCACAACGCAGAAACAGGAUUAAAAAAGAGAAAAGAGGAGAUAGAAAAGAAAAAAAUAUGAAAUGUGUCAGAAUCGAUGCGUAACAAGCAUACAUUUUGCUUUACAUAAAUUCUUAUCAGUGAAUGGUAACACGUGUUACAGGCAAGAUACUAGGAUUAUUUUUGCAUAAAGAACUAUUGGAAAUCGGAUCGAAAAUGAAAAUGGAGGAUCUGGUUGAAGAUGAAUCUUUGAUUAAAAGAAAAAAUAUAUUCAAAUAAAAAUUUGAAAUAUUCAAAAAACUAAGAAGGAAUAUGAAAAAUUCAUUUUUAUUUUUAGUACUUUUAUAUUUGUUGGUAAGUAAAAGAGAUCAAUUUUAAUGUGAUAUUGGUUGAAAGAGAAAAUAAUUAAUUAUGUCUAGAAAUAUAAAGCUUAUGAAAUAAAUUAAUAAAUUUUACGAAGAUUUACAAAACCAAUAAAAUUAUUCAACCGAUUUUCAUUUUAUUGCGAGAAAUAUUUUUUAGUCCACACAUUUAUCACUGAAGAAAAUGUCAUGAGUUAAAAAUCGACACUUCAUGCGAAAGAGCAUCGUUUUAUCAUUCCAUCAGUCUUCAAAAGAUUUCCUUCCCAACAAUUAGACAAAAUGUGAAAAAAGAAAUUCUCAUGCAAAAAAAAAUUUCACGCGAUAAGAUACACGAGUCGCAUAAUUUGCGACAAUUAAUUCUAUACGACGACAAGAUUCGUCGUAUAUAUCUGCUUCCGUGGUUUGUGUAUGUUUCUCAUUAGCACGAAAUAAUAUUCUUUCAAUAACGAGAAGGCGCCGGAUGAGUCACGAAGAGGUUCGACGACCGACGCGCCACAGUACGGCGUAGCUCGGCCUUUAUGCGAAGCCAAACGAUGGAGGAAGCAAAGGACUCUAUGGCUAUUAAAAGAAACGUGGUAAAUUAGAAUAAGGGAAUGUCGACGAGGGAUGCAACGACACAAUGGAGAAUUUACGACCUGGACGUUUUGCUAUUUUCCUCCUUCGUGGGAUAUACAAGUAAGAAACCUCCUCUUUUCUCGUUCGACACAUUGUUUACCAAUUGAGGAAAUCAACCAAUGUUACUACCGUUUCUUGACUUUAAUCAUCAAUCCAGAUAAUUCCAACGGUAUUGCAAUCUCCAAAGGAAAACGAAGAAAAGGGACAAGUUUUUCUUUUGUUUGACUUGUAUUUAAUUGGCUUAAUGCGUUGUUUAAGGUAUCAGGAUGCUGAGUCUAUAGUGUUCUCUUUUUUAAGUUAGUAAAUAUGGUAAGUUAUAAAUAGUUAUGUGUAUUUGAAAAUUCAGCAAGAUGUUUGGAUAAUUUAAAUAAUUAGAAUGAUAGUAUAGAUUGAAUAUAAAAUAUGAAUCAU
rnacentral:lncRNA from 1 species